rnacentral:rRNA from 1 species
GAUGAACGCUGGCGGCGUGCUUAACACAUGCAAGUCGAACGGUGAACACGGAGCUUGCUCUGUGGGAUCAGUGGCGAACGGGUGAGUAACACGUGAGCAACCUGCCCCUGACUCUGGGAUAAGCGCUGGAAACGGCGUCUAAUACUGGAUAUGUGACGUGACCGCAUGGUCUGCGUUUGGAAAGAUUUUUCGGUUGGGGAUGGGCUCGCGGCCUAUCAGCUUGUUGGUGAGGUAGUGGCUCACCAAGGCGUCGACGGGUAGCCGGCCUGAGAGGGUGACCGGCCACACUGGGAUUGAGACACGGCCCAGACUCCUACGGGAGGCAGCAGUGGGGAAUAUUGCACAAUGGGCGGAAGCCUGAUGCAGCAACGCCGCGUGAGGGAUGACGGCCUUCGGGUUGUAAACCUUUUUUAGCAGGGAAGAAGCGAAAGUGACGGUACCUGCAGAAAAAGCGCCGGCUAACUACGUG